rnacentral:rRNA from 1 species
ACUCCUACGGGGAGGCAGCAGUGGGGAAUAUUGGACAAUGGGGGAAACCCCUGAUCCAGCCAUGCCGCGUGUGUGAAGAAAGGCCCUUCGGGUUGUAAAGCACUUUCAGUGGGGAGGAAAGGUUGAUGGUUAAUACCUAUCAGCUGUGACGUUACCCACAGAAGAAGCACCGGCUAACUCCGUGCCAGCAGCCGCGGUAAAUACGGAGGGUGCAAGCGUUAAUCGGAAUUACUGGGCGU